CUUUCUGCAGGACAACUGUGCAGACUACAAAGCUUCGGAAAACCGGAGAGGCUGAGUCGACUAAUCGUGUUGUUGCACGUUAGAAACGCUUGCAUUGCCUGACUCUGAAACCAGAAGGGCGGCCGAAUGGCCUUCACCCUCCAUUAACCCUCGCCUCCUUCAGAAGCCAGUGCCUCUGGAAAUGCCUGGAUCUGCGACCCCAGCCUGAGCCUAGUAGGGCCCAAGGGAAGCUGAACGCCCCGACGGCUCUCAUGGGCACUGGCAACAGUUUUCCGUUUGUGCCUACUCCACCUGCUGUCUUUGUUGGGUCAGCGAACAUCGCCUCCCUCUACCGCUCAAUCAGCAAAAGGGACCGCCCUUGAGGACCUCACCCGCCGCUCACUCCCCUCCCAACUUCGCGGGCAUCGCCUCCGGUCGCCUCUUCCGAAGGCCUAACGAGCAUGUUAGCUGCGAACGGAGGUGAGGAGGCUCCGCU
rnacentral:lncRNA from 1 species